UUCUAUAAGAGAAGUCACAAAAGUACAAUUCUCCCAUCCACAAAGUAUCUUCCUCUACAGCAAUAUUUUCCAAUUAUGGCUUUCAGUCAUCAUCACCUCUUUCUAAAUCUGCACCGAUCAAACAUUUAGCCAUAUUACUUUCUUGUUGAGUUACUGGAAGGAUUGAGACCACACACAAGGAGGGUAACUCUAGAAAGAUACAAGG
rnacentral:lncRNA from 1 species